UAAAAAGCGCCAAUAGGUUGAUGGAUCAUGACCCUGAUGAUAUAUUAUAACAUAAUAAAAGGUUCCUCUAUCUCGCACGAUUCGGCGAGGGGAAGAGAUAAAGAAAAAGAUAGAAUUGAACAACCGUACGGGCACUUUUUCGCAUUGCAUACGGCUCGCCAAUGGAAUUUGCUUUUUACCCUUCAUCAAACAAGGAUAAAAAGGGGGUUCUAUUAUACCCAGAUGGGUAAAUGAUCCAAUUACCACCCUUCUUUUUUUUUGAGGAGUUCAAAAAAUACUAUGAUGGCUCCGUUGCUUUAUAUAUUUAUUUUUUUUGUGAUUCAGCAAUCCAAAGUUUCUUUUUUUUUUUUUCAAAUCAAAAUCAAAAAAGAAAU
rnacentral:lncRNA from 1 species